GAGGGGAGGGCUAACCCAACAAGAACUGCUAAUCCUUGAACCUGGGCCUUAAACCCCAGUCCCCUUA
rnacentral:tRNA from 1 species